rnacentral:rRNA from 1 species
UACAGAGGUGGCAAGCGUUGUUCGGAAUUACUGGGCGUAAAGGGCGCGUAGGCGGCCUUCUAAGUCAGACGUGAAAUCCCCCGGCUUAACCUGGGAACUGCGUCUGAUACUGGGAGGCUAGAGUGCGGGAGAGGGAUGCGGAAUUCCAGGUGUAGCGGUGAAAUGCGUAGAUAUCUGGAGGAACACCGGUGGCGAAGGCGACUUCCUGGACCAAUACUGACGCUCAUGUGCGAAAGCGUGGGGAGCAAACAGG